UGUUUGAAUUAGAGCUCCUUUAAAGUGUUUUAGAUUAUGAUAAUAAUGUUAUAUUAUUUUUAUAAUAAUACAUAUCUGCAAACCAAAUGUAUUUCUGAAAACCCCUUUUUGCAUCUUCAAUAGUUGUAGAUGUUCCAACGUUCGUAGACCUUUCAUACAAACUUUAUAACAUACCAUUGUAGGAAAGACUAUAAAUUGCUUCUGAGAAUCUACGUCUAACAGUCGCUUCCCAACCCCCUAUGUCCAGUAGCCUUCAGAAAUAUCUAUUAGGAGGGAUUCACUUAUUCACAUCUCUUUUUUUUAAUCUGUCCUGGCAGCUAAAUAUUCGGGGCUGUGGGUUUGCGCUAAAGCUGUGGUAACUGUAUUAAAGUAUAUGCUCCACGUUCUGUCCCUAACUAGGGGGGUGUUUCGAGACAUUUGUUGUUUUACAAUGGUUACAUGUUCAUUACACACCUAUGCAUUCUAUAUUAUUAAGUAGGCUGUUGGUCUUUUGAGGUCCGUUAUGUCAAUUUGCCUUUAUACAUCUCAUUGACCUACUGUCAACUCCCUCAGUCGUAAACAUCUACAAUAAUCAUUAGACGUACGCGUCAGAGUUAUCAUACCCCUUGUCGGGGUUUGUACAGAGUUGGUUAAAUCCGCUCUUUUGCUCCCCAUUUACAUGGCUAAUAAUCUCCAAGCUGCUCUAAGCGGUGUUGUUUGAGUGAAUAUUGUUUUACAUAAAGUUAAUAACCCCCCCUAAACCGAUAUAUGAAAUUACCUCUGCCCCUAUCUAUAAAGCGUGAGAUACAUUUUUAAAACCAGUGAUUUAAUUCAAAAGAUUUAGUACCUACAUUUUAACACAUUCCAAAAUGUUUACUAUUUCUUACAGAUAAAGGGUCCUGUUAGCCCCGACCUGUAACUGACAGUUAGACUUACAGGUUAUGUCGUUGUCUUUUGUUUGAAUUGUUUAUGUGUCCGCUGUGCGGGGGAAAUGAUAAUACAAGCGGAACUAUGUAGCUAAUACUGUUGUAACGGGGAUCCUUAUUGUAGCAACACACUUUUGGAGGGAAGGCAAUCAAUCCUGCGCUGCGUUAACUAAGUUUUCAUGUCAUCGGGUGUAGUUCAUAAAGGUUGAAGAGUGUAUGUUAGGAUGAAGUGUGAAUUCAUGCCAGGAAUAAUAAAUGUGAAGUUUGAUUUCCUCCCUUCUGUAAUAAGCAGCCAAUGAGUUCUCACGGAAGGGGAUAAUUCUCACUGAAACUACAGAAUAAAGCCGCCAGUUAAAAUCAAGGAACGGUUGUGCUCGUGGUUACUGAAGGGGGCUACAAGACCAUUAUCCGUUUCGAAUUCACCAACUCAAAGACGCUUGCCCGCUCCAUCAUAACUCCGUAAGUUUUCCCUCCCUGUGUAGAUCAAACGUCCUGCCUGUAAAUCCUGGGUAUGCCCACAUCAUUAAUGAAUAAGAUGUGUAGAAAACUGUUUAGCCAUAAUUAAAGGCCUUUCAUAAAGAGGCUGUCGUGGUUGCAUGUGCCUCAUGUUUAACACGUAUUGCUUGUUACAGAAUACUACUGUUGUACAUCUAAUAUCCCCUAGCAGAUUUCGUUGCCUUUGCACAAAUUCUGUCAUGUUACUGUGGUCUUUUUAAAAGUCAAUAAAAAUGUGUGUAAAGUGUACAUGUCUGUUUCACUGUAUAUUUGUUUAGGCCCUCCUAGAAACACCUAAUUAAAGGCCUUUCAUAAAGAGGCUGUCAUGAUUGCAUGUGCCUCAUGUUUAACAUGUAUUGCUUGUUACAGAAUACUACUGUUGUACAUCUAAUAUCCCCUAGCAGAUUUCGUUGCCUUUGCACAAAUUCUGUCAUGUUACUGUGGUCUUUUUAAAAGUCAAUAAAUAUGUGUGGAAAGUGUACAUGUUUGUUUCACUGUAGAUCUGUUUAAGACCUCCUAGAAACACCUAAUUUCAUCCCACAGCAUUAAUUAAUAAACUGUGUAGAAGCUGUUUAGCCAUAAGUAAAGGCCUUUCAUAAAGCGGCUGUCAUGAUAAACCUGAAUCUGAAAAUACCUUUAGGAUCUUUUCUUUGGGG